AGUGAACGCUGGCGGUAGGCCUAACACAUGCAAGUCGAACGGCAGCACAGUAAGAGCUUGCUCUUACGGGUGGCGAGUGGCGGACGGGUGAGGAAUACAUCGGAAUCUACUUUUUCGUGGGUGAUAACGUAGGGAAACUUACGCUAAUACCGCAUACGACCUACGGGUGAAAGCAGGGGAUCUUCGGACCUUGCGCGAUUGAAUGAGCCGAUGUCGGAUUAGCUAGUUGGCGGGGUAAAGGCCCACCAAGGCGACGAUCCGUAGCUGGUCUGAGAGGAUGAUCAGCCACACUGGAACUGAGACACGGUCCAGACUCCUACGGGAGGCAGCAGUGGGGAAUAUUGGACAAUGGGCGCAAGCCUGAUCCAGCCAUACCGCGUGGGUGAAGAAGGCCUUCGGGUUGUAAAGCCCUUUUGUUGGGAAAGAAAAGCAGCAGGUUAAUACCCCGCUGUUCUGACGGUACCCAAAGAAUAAGCACCGGCUAACUUCAUG
rnacentral:rRNA from 1 species